CGGAUAUUAGCGCAGCUUGGUAGCGCACCACUCUGGGGGAGUGGGGGUCACUGGUUCGAAUCCAGUAUAUCCGACCA
rnacentral:tRNA from 2 species